UACGGGGGGGGCAAGCGUUGUUCGGAAUUACUGGGCGUAAAGGGCUCGUAGGCGGCCAACUAAGUCCGACGUGAAAUCCCCAGGCUUAACCUGGGAACUGCGUCGGAUACUGGAUGGCUUGAAUUCGGGAGAGGGAUGCAGAAUUCCAGGUGUAGCGGUGAAAUGCGUAGAUAUCAGGAGGAACACCGGUGGCGAAGGCGGUGCUCUGGGCCGGAACUGACGCUGAGGAGCGAAAGCGUGGGGAGCAAACAGG
rnacentral:rRNA from 1 species